AGCAGCCGCGGUAAUUCCAGCUCCAAUAGCGUAUAUUAAAGUUGUUGCAGUUAAAAGCUCGUAGUUGAAUUUCGGGACCAAUUUGUUGGUCGUGCCUCGGUACGUACUGGUAUUAUUGGUUCCUCCCUUCUGAAGAACCUCGAUGCCAUUAAUUUGGUGUCGUGGGGAAUCAGGACUGUUACUUUGAAAAAAAUUAGAGUGUUUAAAGCAAGCAUACGCUUGAAUACAUUAGCAUGGAAUAAUGAAAUAGGACGUUUGAUUCUAUUUUGUUGGUUUCUAGGAUCGACGUAAUGAUUAAUAGGGAUAGUUGGGGGGCAUUAGUAUUCAAUUGUCAGAGGUGAAAUUCUUGGAUUUAUUGAAGACUAACUACUGCGAAAGCAUUUGCCAAGGAUGUUUUCAUUAAUCAAGAACGAAAGUUAGGGGAUCGAAGACGAUCAGAUACCGUCGUAGUCUUAACCAUAAACUAUGCCGACUAGGGAUCGGAUGAUGUUAAUUUUUUUAAUGACUCAUUCGGCGCCUU
rnacentral:misc_RNA from 1 species